rnacentral:rRNA from 1 species
UACAGAGGUCCCAAGCGUUGUUCGGAUUCACUGGGCGUAAAGGGUGCGUAGGUGGCCAGGUAAGUUUGGUGUGAAAGCUCGGAGCUUAACUCCGAAAAGUCAUUGAAUACUAUCUGGCUGGAGGGUCGGAGGGGAGACUGGAAUUCUCGGUGUAGCAGUGAAAUGCGUAGAUAUCGAGAGGAACACCAGUGGCGAAGGCGAGUCUCUGGACGACUCCUGACACUGAGGCACGAAAGCUAAGGGGAG